AACGAACGCUGGCGGCGUGGAUAAGACAUGCAAGUCGAACGAGAAACUUACUUAGCUUGCUUUGAAAGUUUCUAGUGGCGAACGGGUGAGUAACACGUGAGUUACCUGCCCCGAAGUGGGGGAUAGCCUCUCGAAAGGGAGAUUAAUACCCCAUGUGAUCGUAAGAUUAAAGGCGGCUUCGGCUGUCGCUUCGGGAUGGGCUCGCGGCCUAUCAGCUAGUUGGUGAGGUAACUGCUUACCAAGGCGAUGACGGGUAGCUGGUCUGAGAGGACGACCAGUCACACUGGAACUGAGACACGGUCCAGACACCUACGGGUGGCAGCAGUCGAGAAUCAUUCGCAAUGGGCGAAAGCCUGACGGUGCGACGCCGCGUGGAGGAUGAAGGCCCUAGGGUCGUAAACUCCUGUCAUCAGGGAGUAAUGGCUUACGUAGUAACUGACGUGGGCAGUGAUAGUACCUGAAGAGGAAGGGACGGCAAACUUCGUGCCAGCCGCCGCCGUAACAC
rnacentral:rRNA from 1 species